rnacentral:lncRNA from 1 species
UAGCAUCCUCUGGGUCUACUGCACCCAUUCAGGUUGUUUUUGAUACAUUCCCAGGCAGGGCCGCCAUCAGGGCAUGACAACCGUAACGGUUGUCAUGGGCCCGGCGGUCCUGGGGGGCCCGGACUGCUCAGGUCGUCCGGGCCCCACAUUCAGUGGGUACAUACCGGGUCGCAGGGGGCCCUGCGACCCCGGUAUGUACCCACAGGGCCAGCCUCUUCACCUGGGGGGCCCAGCAGCCGGUCACCCCAGGGCCCCCCAGAGGCUGGCCCUGC